UUGAUCUGAAGCUCUUCUGUUGUGGUGAUCAAGAGUGAAGGAAGGUGGGACUUCCAGUGCUGUGUUGAAUGAAAAUGGUAUACGAAGUCUGAAAGUAAGACCUGCAGUA